UACGAGGGGAGCUAGCGUUGUUCGGAAUUACUGGGCGUAAAGCGCGCGUAGGCGGUUUUUUAAGUCAGAGGUGAAAGCCCGGGGCUCAACCCCGGAAUAGCCUUUGAAACUGGAAAACUAGAAUCUUGGAGAGGUCAGUGGAAUUCCGAGUGUAGAGGUGAAAUUCGUAGAUAUUCGGAAGAACACCAGUGGCGAAGGCGACUGACUGGACAAGUAUCGACGCUGAGGUGCGAAAGCGUGGGGAGCAAACAGG
rnacentral:rRNA from 1 species